UAAAGUUUUACAAAAUGAACUGUAGAAUACCAAAAAUAAAGGGCUUUGAAACAUCAAAAUUGGGAACAAUUAGGUGCUGUAGCAGCCAGCAGGCAAGGAAAUCUGGGUGAAUGUGAAUCACCACUACUACAGUGGGGUCCUGGAUUCAUGAACCAGCCCCUCAAGACUGCAGAAUCCAGAGCUGGUGACCAGGAUUACCAGUGGCUCACGUGGGUCCAGAUGGUCAGUGACACAACCUGGAUUACAGAAUUAGCAGCAGAAAGUAUUGUGUUACUAACUUCCACAUUAACUCAACACCUUACAGAUUUGGUAGCAGAGGAAUUUAGGGAAUGGAUCAGAUUGGUGAUCUCUGUUUUGUAAUCUUGCAUUCUCAUGGCUUUAGGGUGGGACUGUUACUCAGAGGGCUUUAGUUGUGCUGAGACUUUUUUUUUUGCUCUCCUGCCUCAUACAACCUCUUCCCUCUCACUUCUGUGCAGGAGAGAAUUCCCAUUUCACUGGACACUUAAUGAUCACUUUCGUUGCUCUUGGAGGGUGGCAGAGGAAAGAAGAACUUGGAUAACUCACAAUAAAGAAACCCACAUGAACUGUAUUUAUUUUUAAAUAAUACUCACCUUAUGCUCUUA